rnacentral:tRNA from 1 species
UUAACCCCCAAAAUUGAGCCCUCACAACAAAAAACAACAGGCCCUAAGCCAAAUACUCUUGUAGCUUAAUAAUAAAGC